GGCCAGCCGACGAGUCCCUAAUAGGACGAAACUAGCGUCCUGGAU
rnacentral:hammerhead_ribozyme from 1 species